rnacentral:rRNA from 1 species
CGGUUGGUCCUGCCGGACCCGACUGCUAUUUGGGUGAGGAUAAGCCAUGCGAGUCGAAUGGGAAACCUAAAUUUCCCAUGGCAGACUGCUCAGUAACACAUGAUCAACUUACCCUAUAGAGAAAAAUAACCUCGGGAAACUGAGGAUAAUUUUUCAUAGUUGAAAAGGCUUGGAAAAGUUUUUCAAUAAAAAGGAUAAAAAAAAUGGUUUUUAUCUGCUAUAGGAUAGGAUCGUGUUCGAUUAUGGUUGUUGGUGAGGUAACGGCUCACCAAGCCGAUAAUCGAUAGGGGCCGUGAGGGCGGGAGCCCCGAGAUGGGUACUGAGACAACGACCCAGGCCUUACGAGGCGCAGCAGGCGCGGAACCUCCGCAAUACACGAAAGUGUGACGGGGUUACCCAAAGUGUUCAAUUCUGAACUGUGGUAGGUGAGUAAUGUCCCCUACUAGAAAGGAGAGGGCAAGGCUGGUGCCAGCCGCCGCGGUAAAACCAGCUCUUCAAGUGGUCGGGAUAAUUAUUGGGCUUAAAGUGUCCGUAGCCGGUUUAGUAAGUUCCUGGUAAAAUCGGGUAGCUUAACUAUCCGUAUGCUAGGAAUACUACUAUACUAGAGGGCGGGAGAGGUCUGAGGUACUACAGGGGUAGGGGUGAAAUCUUAUAAUCCUUGUAGGACCACCAGUGGCGAAGGCGUCAGACUGGAACGCGCCUGACGGUGAGGGACGAAAGCCAGGGGAGCGAACCGGAUUAGAUACCCGGGUAGUCCUGGCCGUAAACGAUGCAUACUAGGUGAUGGCACGGCCAUGAGCCGUGUCAGUGCCGUAGGGAAACCGUUAAGUGUGCCGCCUGGGAAGUACGGUCGCAAGGCUAAAACUUAAAGGAAUUGGCGGGGGAGCAC